rnacentral:rRNA from 1 species
GACGGAGGAUGCAAGCGUUAUCCGGAAUUAUUGGGCGUAAAGCGUCCGCAGGUGGCUGUUCAAGUCUGCUGUCAAAGCGCAGAGCUUAACUCUGUACAGGCGGUGGAAACUGAAGAGCUAGAGUAUGGUAGGGGUAGAGGGAAUUCCCGGUGUAGCGGUGAAAUGCGUAGAUAUCGGGAAGAACACCAGUGGCGAAAGCGCUCUACUGGGCCAUAACUGACACUGAGGGACGAAGGCCAGGGGAGCAAACGGG